rnacentral:rRNA from 1 species
CCUUGUACACACCGCCCGUCACACCAUGGGAGUUGGUUUUACCCGAAGCUGGUGCGCUAACCGCAAGGAGGCAGCCAACCACGGUAAGGUCAGCGACUGGGGUG